rnacentral:rRNA from 1 species
GUUCGAUUCAGGGCUCCAGAUUGAACGCUGGCGGGAUGCUUUACAUGCAAGUCGAACGGCAGCACGGACUUCGGUCUGGUGGCGAGUGGCGAACGGGUGAGUAAUGUAUCGGAACGUGCCUAGUAGCGGGGGAUAACUACGCGAAAGCGUAGCUAAUACCGCAUACGCCCUUCGAAGGGGAAAGCGGGGACCUUCGGGCCUCGCACUAUUAGAGCGACCGAUAUCGGAUUAGCUAGUUGGUGGGGUAACGGCUCACCAAGGCGACGAUCCGUAGCUGGUUUGAGGACGACCAGCCACACUGGGACUGAGACGGCCCAGACUCCUACGGGGAGAGCAGCAGUGGGGAAUUUUGAAAAAGCGUAAAACCCUGAUCCAGCCAUCCCGUGUGCGAUGAAGGCCUUCGAAUUUGUAAACACUUUUGGCAGGAAAGAAGCAACAGGAUAAUACCCAUGCAACUGACCGUACCUGCAGGCUCAAGCACCGGCUAACUACGUGCCAACGCAGCCGCGGUAAUACGUAGGGUACAAGCGUUGUCGGAGAUACAGACGUAAGCGUGCGCGAACGGUUCGGAAAGAAAGAUGUGAAAUCCCAGAAACCUUUGGAACUGCAUUUUUAACUACCGACUGAAGUGGCGUGGAGGAGAUUGAUUCCGCGUGUAGCAGUGAAAUGCGUAGAUAUGCGGAGGAACACCUAUGGCGAAGCAGCCUCCUGGGAUAACACUGACGCUCAUGUACGAAAGCGUGGGAGCAAACUGGAUUAGAUACCCUGGUAGUCCACGCCCUAAACGAUGCAUCAACUAGCUGUUGGGGCCUUCGGGCCUUGGUAGCGCAGCUAACGUGAAGUUGACCGCCUGGGGAGUACGGUCGCAAGAUUAAAACUCAAGGAAUUGACGGGGACCCGCACAAGCGGUGGAUGAUGUCUGGAUUAAUUCGAUGCAACGCGAAAAACCUUACCUACCUUGACAUAAUCUGGAAUCCCGAAGAUUUGGGAGUGCUCGCAAGAGAACCGGAACACAGGUGCUGCAUGGCUGUCGUCAGCUCAUUCGUGAGAUGUUGGGUUAAGUCCCGCAACAGGCGCAGCCUGCACCAUUAGUUGCUACGAAGGGCACUCUAAUAGGGCUACCGGUGACAAACCGGAGGAAGGUGAGAUGACGUCAAGUCCUCAUGGCCCUUAUGGGUAGGGCUUCACACGUCAUACAAUGGUCGGGACAGAGGGUCGCCAACCCGCGAGGGGGCAAUCGAGGAAGCCGAUCGUAGUCCGGAAUCCGCAGUCUGCAACUCGACUGCGUGAGUCGGAAUCGCUAGUAAUCGCGGAUCAGCAUGUCGCGGUGAAUACGUUCCCGGGUCUUGUACACACCGCCCGUCACACCAUGGGAGUGGGUUUUACCAGAAGUAGUUAGCCUAACCUGGAGGCGAUUACCACGGUAGGAUUCAUGACUGGGGUGAAGUCGUAGCUAAGUGG